CAAUAGCGUAUAUUAAAGCUGUUGCGGUUAAAAAGCUCGUAGUUGGAUUUCUGUCAAGGACAACUGGUCCGCCCUUCGGGUGAGCACAUAGUUUGGUCUUGGCAUCUUGUUGGAAACUGUUGCUGCACUUGGUUGUGUGGCGCAGCGUCCAGCACUUUCACUUUGAGGAAUUUGGAGUGUUUCAAGCAGGCACAUGCCUUUGGACACAGUAGCAUGGAAUAAUUAGAUUGGGCUUUUGCUCCAACUUGUCGGUUUCUGGAGCUGAGGUGAGAAUUAAUGGGGAUUGUUGGGGGCAUCCGAAUUUAGCCGUCAGAGGUGAAAUUCUUGGAUCUGCUAAAGACGGACAACUGCGAAAGCGUUUGCCCAGGAUGUUUUCAUUGA
rnacentral:rRNA from 1 species